rnacentral:rRNA from 1 species
AUUGAACGCUGGCGGCAGGCCUAACACAUGCAAGUCGAGCGGAGCGGCGGACGGGUGAGUAAUGCCUGGGAAUCUGCCUGGUCGUGGGGGAUAACGUCCGGAAACGGGCGCUAAUACCGCAUACUAUCAGAUGAGACUAGGUCGGAUUAGCUAGUUGGUGGGGUAAAGGCCUGACAAGGCGACGAUCCGUACCUGGUCUGAGAGGAGGAUCAGUCACACUGGAACUGAGACACGGUCCAGACGCCUACGGGAGGCAGCAGAGGGGAAUAUUGGACAAUGGGCGACAGCCUGAUCCAGCCAUGCCGAGUGUGUGAAGAAGGUCUUCGGGUUGUAAAGUACUUUCAGCGAGGAGGCGUUACUCGCAGAAGAAGCACCGGCUAACUCCGUGCCAGCAGCCGCGGUAAUAC